AUUGAACGCUGGCGGCAUGCCUAACACAUGCAAGUCGAACGGUAACAGGCCCUUCGGGCGCUGACGAGUGGCGGACGGGUGAGUAAUGCUUAGGAAUCUGCCUAGUAGUGGGGGAUAACCCGGGGAAACUCGGGCUAAUACCGCAUACGUCCUACGGGAGAAAGCGGGGGACCUUCGGGCCUCGCGCUAUUAGAUGAGCCUAAGUCCGAUUAGCUAGUUGGUAGGGUAACGGCCUACCAAGGCGACGAUCGGUAGCUGGUCUGAGAGGACGACCACGCCACACUGGACUGAGACACGGCCCAGACUCCUACGGGAGG
rnacentral:rRNA from 1 species